rnacentral:lncRNA from 1 species
CAGGGGCGUGUCCAGGAUAUUUGAAAGGGGGGGCGUAGAAUAAAAUAUUUCGCCGAGCGAAGCGAGGCGAAAAUUUUUUUGGACCUUUUUUGGCUUAAAAACAUAAAAUAAUAGAGAAUUGCACUAAUGUAACGGUUCCUGACUUGGAGCAUGUAUAUUUUAUAGUUAAAGUGUCGGGGUGUGACAUUUUUUAUGCCGAGUUUUCUUCAUUAAUUGUCUAUGGUAUAUUAAAAUGAUUGGAUGGAUCUUAACAGCAGUAGACCAAUAACGAGAAAUUCUAAACUCAAGGGUAUAAGGAGUAACUUAACAUUUCAAUACCUAGGCCAGGAUUUUAUGAACGAGAGGCGUGAUUACGGUUGAGGGUCCAUGGGGAAGCUCAGAAGCUCCUGAAUUUCAACAAUUUAGCAUCAAAUUAUGAAGUAAUCCCUCUAUUUUUGAUUAAGUUCGGGUUUCGUUGAACGACACACAUGAUACAAGACAAAUAAACACUGAAGAAUAAAGUUCUUUCGUUCUGAGUAUUGCUUUAAUGUGGAAAUAUACAUAUUUCUAGUAUAC